AGGUUGAGAACCACUGACAUGGAAGAAGCAACUAGCGGAGCGCGGUGGUGCGCGCCUGUAGUCCCAGCUACUGGAGAGGCUGAGGCUGGAGGAUCGCUUGAGCCCAGGAGUUCUGGGCUGUAGUGCGCUAUGCCGAUCGGGUGUCCGCACUAAGUUCGGCAUCAAUAUGGUGACCUCCUGGGAGCGGGGGGCCACCAGGUUGCCUAAGGAGGGGUGAACCGACCCAGGUCGGAGACGGAGCGGCAUGUAGGGGAGGA